GGAUGCUACAAGGAAAAUCUUUGCAUUUGGUGACAGACUAUAAACAAAACUCUUCACACUUUUGGGCUGGAAGGGAGAGUACUCAAGCUUCUCUCCUGAGAAAUGUUGGCCCAAUUCAGAUUGGCACCAGUUCGUGUAGGGAAGUACUGGCAAUUUCUGGUGGGGAGAAGAUACGGAGGAACUGUAUAGAAGUAGAUACACUAAAAAGAAUAGAAGAAAAAAGGAAAAAUAAUUUUCUUCUUGUGAUAAGGCAACAUGAACAAUUACUUUUGCGAUAUGCUCAUAUCUUACAGUAAAGAUUGGGAUUAUUCUGCAAAUAUAAGAAUACUGAUGAAAAGAAUACACCUCUAGACAUAAUACAUGGGAUCAAAAGAGAGCAAGAGAGGAGGAAACACUGGAGAAGGGGAAGGAGAAGGAAAGAAGGAAGGAAGGAAGGAAGAAGGAAGGAAGGAAGGAAGGAAGGAAAGAAGGAAAGAAGGAAAGAAGGAAAGAAGGAAAGAAACAAACGAGGAAAAUCUACCUGGGAGCAGAAUAGAAAUUUUCCUUAGCCACACUCAACUAUACAUUUGCAUUACUUUCUACGCUUGAUCUUAACCAAAAGGCUAAGAAGUAAUUGCAUCAAUUUCUUAUAUUUAAUAUCAGACCUGUACCGUAUAAUACAAAUGGUUGUUUAUAAUUAUGUGGUUAACUAUGUAGAGUUAUACAGAACUUUAAUUUCAUUAUAUUAAUCUCAAUUAUAAUUUUACUGUAUAUAACAUGAAUAAUUGAAUUAAAGAACAGAUUAUGGUAGCAUUAUGUAUUAGCUUAGACCAGGUAGGGUUUCCUAACUGAUAAAAGAACUAUUCUGCAUGAACUGUUGGCAAUAUUGGUAAAAAUACCUUUCUGGGAUAUUAUCUUAAACAGUCUUUCUAUCCUGAAGUGCCAAAGGAAUUUGGGUUUAAUCCACUGGGAAAUAGGAAACCAAUGAAAGACUUUAAGAAUGUAAGUGGCAUACUGGGUAUUAUACUAUAUGUUGCAAAUUGAAUUUAAAUAAAAUAUUUUUUUAAAAAAACA
rnacentral:lncRNA from 1 species